UCUCGCCUGGUCCGCGAAACGGACUUCAAAACC
rnacentral:tRNA from 1 species